rnacentral:rRNA from 1 species
GACGUAGGGUGCGAGCGUUGUCCGGAUUUAUUGGGCGUAAAGAGCUCGUAGGCGGCUCGUCGCGUCGACCGUGAAAACCCGCGGCUUAACUGCGGGCUUGCGGUUGAUACGGGCGGGCUAGAGUUCGGUAGGGGAGACUGGAAUUCCUGGUGUAGCGGUGAAAUGCGUAGAUAUCAUUUGGAACGCCAAUGGUGAAAACAGGUAGCUGGGGCUGUGCUGACACUGAGACACGAAAGCCAGGGGAGCAAACGGG